rnacentral:tRNA from 1 species
GGGCCCAUGGUGCAGCGGUCUAGCACAUUCGCCUGUCACGCGAAAGAUCGAGGGUUCGAAUCCCUUUGGGCCCG